CCUAUGAAUAAUACCACCUGUGGUACUGAGGGUUCUGUAACAGUGGUAGGCUUUACCAUACUAUUGCUUGCAGUCUACCUGGCUAUUGCUAGCCAAAUAAAAGUUUUGAGGCACAAACGGAGCCAAUGAAACAAUCCUUUUUAGACACUAAAUUAUUUCCUUCCUGUUCAUGUCAUGCUUGAAAAAUGUGUGGAUAUCAAACAAGUGCAUAAUAUCUAAUGAAAUGUAGACUUUGAAAAGCUCUUAGAAGCCUUCAGAUCAACCUCUGAAAUGUGAUGAUGCUCAGCAUACAGGAAGAAAUAUAUUGCUCCAUACAGACCUCAGAACACUCAUGAAAAUACAACACAAAGUAUACAAAGUCUCAGCAAAGAUUCUAAUAAAACUUUACAGGCUUUGGAGCACGAAAACAGAGCAGGAACAACAGAUUGCUAUGAUUUUAGAGAACUUUGUGGUUUUCCCUGUUUGCCAAUGCAAAAUGUCAAGGAUGGGAACCCAGGGAAAAGGAAAUCUACAGCUUUCAGACUUUUUGCUGUCCUAUGCAACCAUGGUAAUUAAGGCCAUCAUAUUUUUAAGCAUAUUGAUUUCUACAACACCUCUGCAAGGUAAACCCAACUCCCCUGUUUUACAGAGGCACCAGAAAACUGAUUAUGUUGAAAAUCACACCAUGAAGAGAGAAUCAAAUUCAGGUUUCACAAAUCCCAGGUACCUCCAUCCUCAGGAAAGGUUUGCAAAAGUCUUCAAAAGCUUCGCUUUCUCUCCAUUCAACAAAAGAUUAAUUUGUGAAAAUUUAGACUAGCAUUUGACUGAAAAUAUUAACCAAAUAUAUGCUCCGAACGAAUCUCUUUUGAACACUGCAAAGUGGCAUUACUUUGGAACUUUUGAAUUGUGUGUGCUUUUUCUACCUUUUUCUUUUUCUUUUUUUCUUUUUUUUUUUCUUUUUUUUUUUUUCUAUUUCUGUCAAGAAAAAAAGAAGCCUUUACUGGCUGAAUAAAUGCAGCCAUUCGGGCGGUGGUAUCUAGAAACUACAAGAUUAGACAAGUAAAAUCUACCACAACACCUGCUGCUCUUCUAGAUGCCCCACAUGCAGCAUUUUUAGCAAGAAUUACUGAGUCAAGAGAUAUCUAAUUAACACUUACUCCUUGUGUUUUUCGAAUCUGACCCAGGUGCAGCAGUGAAUAUGCAAGCUGAAGUUUCAGUUUUCUAGCUUUCAGUUUUUAAUGAAAAAACCACUUUUCUAUCAAACAACUGUUUUAGUUGAAGUCUUUUUUUUUGUUGUUCAGCCCCAUUGCCAAGUGCUCUCAAGCCCUAUUAAUUCUCUGUGUACAGGCAUUUAGUAUCUCUCUAAGUGCCCAAUACUUUUAUACUUGACCCUCUGGGAUCAAC
ensembl:lncRNA